GACGAACGCUGGCGGUGUGCUUCACACAUGCAAGUCGAACGAGGUAGCAAUACCUAGUGGCGGACGGGUGAGUAACGCGUGGGAAUCUGCCUUUAGAUGGGGGAUAACGGGUCGAAAGACUCGCUAAUACCGCAUAUGACGAAAGUUGAAAGGAGUAAUCCGUCUAAAGAUGAGCCCGCGUCCGAUUAGCUAGUUGGUAGAGUAAAAGCCUACCAAGGCGACGAUCGGUAGCUGGUCUGAGAGGAUGAUCAGCCACAAUGGGACUAGAAGACACGGCCCAUACU
rnacentral:rRNA from 1 species